AACAAUCCACACAAUUUCCAUGAACGUGAGUAAAACAUUGCACAUAUAUUCGAAUGGUCGGCAAAUGCGCGACAAUAGCGUUAAACAAUAAACAAUUCACUUAGAGUCCCAGCAUUUUCGUCGUAUUUUCUUCUUUAUUUAUUGGCAAUUGGAAAUUCGCCUGCCGCGCUAUGCGUACGUUAUUCGAUUCGAUUUGAAUGCGGUUUGGAUUCGAUUUGAUGCGAUUCGAUGCGAUGCGAUUUGAUGCGAUUUAAUUUGAUUCGAUUUGUGAGUGAAACGGAAACAGUUAACGAAACAGCAACAAAUGGCUUCCAAGCGGAGAAGCGGUGCGGUUCAACGAAUUCCGUUGACGCGACGCUGAAUGAGAACUGAUUUGAAUUUUUCGGUGCGACGUUGGGGAUUGUGUCGAUUGUACCGCCGUCGAUCGCCAGCGGUAAAAUAGCAAACAGCAAACAGCUGACAGAGGCAGAAGCAGAAGCAGAAGCCGCAGCCACAGCGUUUGGAGAAUGCAAAAAGCAGGCAGCUUAUCGUCUAGCUGAUAAGGCCAGUGCAUUGGUACAGCGCAUUUUAUAUGUCUUUGUGUGCUGCUGAGACGAUGUCUGAUAAUGAAAGUACUGAGUCCCCCGACAACGCUCGCCAAAUAUUUGAAUUGCUUGGGAUUGCAGCAAUUGUCGCUGGCAGACAGCAGAAAUUGUAGCGAAUAAGAAAGCAAAAGUUGUGGCAAAUCGAAUGUUGAAUCUAAGCAGAAACAUCUUGAAAAGCAUGUAACUUAAAUGAACUGAAACCAACACACUCUAUGCCGACUCACUGGCGUGUAAAAUAAAUAAAUGCACAAAUGACCACAUGUCCCAUUUGUGCAGCUGCGAUAAUGUCCGAAAUGCAGAAUCACUGGAUUACCCACCCGAUGAGAUAAUGCGACAAUACUCUGGACCAGCACAGCUCACCACCUGUCAGAGUUCGCUGCUCACUUCGCAGUCGCUUUGCUGACACGUCACUCAGAGGAAUUCUUUCGAAAAAGGGGUUUUUAAACCCCCUUAAUCCCCCUUUGCUUGCAGUAAAAUGCGCUCAUUUGCAAAUGCGUUCACUGAAUGCGAUUGGUUAUUUUUCCAUGAUUUUCGACUCUGUUUGGCCAGGCGUAAUAUAAUUGUGUGCAUGACCUUGCACCCGCUUCUCACCUGCCACCCAGCUGACGCCACCCCUCCCCUUGCGACGCCCACCACCAGCUGGCACUCCCCUUCAGUGUUAGGCAAACAUCAACAAAUUUAUGACACUGUCGAGCAAACACAAAAAUACAAAGAACAAAAAAAGUACAGGUGAGCGAGAGUGCUUCGGUUUUUUGUUUUUUUUUUUUGUUUUUUGCCUCUUCUUCUUUCGGAACAGCGCAUGUGGAAAAUUUUGACUUUGUUUGUCCCGAUUCGUACCGCCCAUCCAACCCACCCAGCCGCCCAACUCUCGAGAUGAUCCCCACAGAUUCCCCCGCCCGCCGGUUAAACACUUUGAAUGACUUUAUCGCGUUUUUAUCGCUGCACCAUUUACCUGCCCUUGUCUUUGGUGCACUGAGAGAAAGAAAUGAGCAAAGCUACGAAUUCAUAAAAAAAAAGUCAUAAAAGUCACAUUUGCUUAUAAUUGAAAGCAAACUGAAUGUUUCAUCAAAACAUAUAUAUUAUAUCAUUAAAGUUUAUAUUGAUUGCAAUCCAUAUUUUUUCAGUUUCAAA
rnacentral:sRNA from 13 species